rnacentral:rRNA from 2 species
UGUUUGAUGUUCUAACGUGGACCCGUGAUCCGGGUUGCGGACAGUGUCUGGUGGGUAGUUUGACUGGGGCGGUCUCCUCCUAAAGAGUAACGGAGGAGCACGAAGGUUGGCUAAUCCUGGUCGGACAUCAGGAGGUUAGUGCAAUGGCAUAAGCCAGCUUGACUGCGAGCGUGACGGCGCGAGCAGGUGCGAAAGCAGGUCAUAGUGAUCCGGUGGUUCUGAAUGGAAGGGCCAUCGCUCAACGGAUAAAAGGUACUCCGGGGAUAACAGGCUGAUACCGCCCAAGAGUUCAUAUCGACGGCGGUGUUUGGCACCUCGAUGUCGGCUCAUCACAUCCUGGGGCUGAAGUAGGUCCCAAGGGUAUGGCUGUUCGCCAUUUAAAGUGGUACGCGAGCUGGGUUUAGAACGUCGUGAGACAGUUCGGUCCCUAUCUGCCGUGGGCGCUGGAGAACUGAGGGGGGCUGCUCCUAGUACGAGAGGACCGGAGUGGACGCAUCACUGGUGUUCGGGUUGUCAUGCCAAUGGCACUGCCCGGUAGCUAAAUGCGGAAGAGAUAAGUGCUGAAAGCAUCUAAGCACGAAACUUGCCCCGAGAUGAGUUCUCCCUGAGACUUUAGGUCUCCUGAAGGAACGUUGAAGACGACGACGUUGAUAGGCCGGGUGUGUAAGCGCAGCGA